CAGACCUCUAAUCGGAAAAGACUACCCGCUGAGUUUAAGCAUAUCAAUAAACGGGAGGAAAA
rnacentral:rRNA from 1 species